rnacentral:lncRNA from 1 species
AUCUCCUCUUCUGUGGGCACUGUAUGGAGAGGUCUCUGGAGAUUUCUUCUGAUGAAAACCAUUAUUUCAGGCUUCCUGGAGAUUUCUUCUGAUGCAAACCAUUAUUUCAGGCUUUCCUAUGGCAAGACUGUACUUUGGAGGAUAAUUUUGGGAAAUAGUGUCAUGUAUAGAAAUACGAGAUCUUAAGACUACUUGCGCUCAGAUACUAGUUGGAAAGAAUUCUUCACCCUAGCAGGUAUGCCUGCUGCAUCUCAAACCACAGGAUUGAAUUGGGCAGCCUUAGGGAUGAAACUGAGUCAGUAAUUCCAAGUGUGCUGGCAGAGCCUGGAAGCCAUUAACAAGCAAGUGUGAGAAGUAAUUGAAG